rnacentral:tRNA from 1 species
AGCUUCGAGGUGUCAACACGUCAGAUUGCAAAUCUGAAGAUGUAGACUAUCGUCUACCGGGGCUU